AAUCAACGCUGGCGGCGUGCCUCAGACAUGCAAGUCGAACGAUUAAAGCUCCCUUCGGGGAGUGCAUAAAGUGGCGCACGGGUGAGUAACACGUAAGUAAUCUACCCUCGAGUGGGGAAUAACGUCCGGAAACGGACGCUAAUACCGCAUAAUGCAGCGGCACCGCAAGGUGACAGUUGUUAAAGAUUUAUCGCUUGAGGAGGAGCUUGCGGCAGAUUAGCUAGUUGGUAAGGUAAUGGCUUACCAAGGCCGCGAUCUGUAACCGGUCUAAGAGGACGGUCGGUCACACUGACACAGAAUAACGGGUCAGACUCCUACGGGAGGCAGCAGUCGGGAAUUUUGGGCAAUGGGCGAAAGCCUGACCCAGCAACGCCGCGUGAAGGAUGAAGUAUUUCGGUAUGUAAACUUCGAAAGAAUGGGAAGAAUAAAUGACGGUACCAUUUAUAAGCUCCGGCUAACUACGUGCCAGCCGCCGCCGUAAAAC
rnacentral:rRNA from 1 species